AGAUGGAUGUGGCAACGGUGAUAGUGGAGGUGAUAAUGAUAGUAGCACCAAGAACCCGACGGGGAAAACUGGGAGACAGAGGAUUUCUCCCUGUUGGGCAGCAUUGACAGUCAUGGCAAAAUGUGCCAGUUAAGGUUAUUCUCUAUGGGGGAGGCUGAAGAAGAGAAUGGUACAUCAACAGCUGAGGCAGAGGCUCGGGGGCAAGACGAGUGAUGACGUGAUAAAGUCAGGACAAAGAGCGAGGCAGAAAUGUGAUCAACAGGAUAACAGUGUGCUUCUCUAAUGCAGCAACAGGGAAUCAGCGCCCUCCUACACAUCUUCUCCAACUCCAAUAAAAACCCGAGCAAACACAUGUCUGCUUUAGAGCAUACACACAUGUAAACCACCACUAAGAUGUGUCUUUGUUUCUCUCCAUCCCUGUUUGGUCCUUGUUAUGUUUCGAUGUGGCUGACGCCCAACAUUUCCAUGUAUCCUCUUCCAAAGUUUCACUCCACCUCAUUUUGUUUUUAUUCUCUCCUCUCUAUUAAGCUCUCUUGCUUCGUAUUUCUGUGUGUGUGUGUGUGUGUGCGUGUCUGAAGAAACCUCUCCAAAUCUCGAGACAGAGAUCCUUGACCAGCUCUGAUCCCUGCCUGGGGCCGACAGGAUGAGAGUGGAGAGAAAGAAGUGGAAGAAAGAAGCAAGAUUGAAAUUUUAAUAGGCUAAAGGGACUCAAGUCUUUUUCUUUAAUAGCUGUCUCCCAUAUAUCUCUAACCCCUCUUAUCAAAACAUUUAUUCUAGCUGGACUGUUACUUCUCCUCUUUCUCUGACACCAUCUGUUUUUGUUUUAUAUGUGACUCUUCACUCGCCAGAACACUUUGUGCUUUUGCAAUGGUAUGGAGAAUAUUAAA